GAAAUUUUCCUGGAUUAUCUAAAAAGAGCCAAACUGACUAACUAUGGGACAUAUAGAACCAUAUUACUGUAUUUCUGGAGGAGCAAUACCAGGACUGAGUGAAUGGUUUCCAGGUCGACUUUCUGAGGGCAAAAAUAAUUGAGACUCUGGGGCAGUGAUAGAACAUUGACAGAUUACUGAACGAUAUUUGGAUUUAUCAAAAAAGAAGGCAAGAUGUUUCAGCAGGGGGAAAUAAGUGGGUUGCAAAAAGAAUUGGUGGCAAUGUUUCAAAGCAUUCAGGAUACCAUGACAAGGAAUUACAGAGAGAUAAUGGACUUAAUGAAUAACAUAAAUGGGAAGUUAGAAAGUGCUCCACAAGAGAUAAUGAAUAAUGAUAAAAAAGCCCAGGAAAUAGAGGAGACAAUGGAGAGACCAGGGGAAAAGACAGAACUAAAUAAACAAACAAAACAAGAAAAGGGAGAAGAGAAGAACUGCAGAUAUCAAGGAAUAAUGCAACACAAGGCACAGAGCCCUCUACAAGACAACAUAGAAGUACAAAGAUGGUGUAUGCAGAGUCAAUGAGAUGACUUGAAGCUUAGGAAGAUGAACUGUAUGCACCUGGAAGAGUAAGGGAUAAUGGGCGCAAUCAUAAGGGAGAGCUGUAUUUCCUUUGGAAAUAGUUUACAAAUAAAAUGAGAAGAGAAUAAAAUGGAUCAUUCA